GGUUGUAGCUUAAUGGUAGAGUGCUUGCCUAGCAUGUGUGAGGUACUGGGUUUGAUCCUCAGCACCA
rnacentral:tRNA from 1 species